rfam:'Osedax' symbiont bacterium Rs2_46_30_T18 BD02T18_scaffold_5534, whole genome shotgun sequence.
AUUUCCAGUAGCUUGGCGAUAUAGGGGAUCAGCGGCAAGUUCAGAAUCAGCAGUACCACGUUGCCCAGAUACAUAGAGACUAUUACUGACCAAAACACAUCCGGAUGAUCGAUAAACAACUGUGGUCC